GUCCCUAGGUGACCAACUCCUCCUUCUGUCAGGCUCCCAACUUGGGGUGCCCAACUUCCCCAUGGCCUGGCACCUGGCUUUAGACUUUAUCUUCUUACUCCCAUAGGGAGUGGGGAGGAUGGGUAAGGAAAGCUGGAGCUGGGCUGGGUGGACCCUUUGACCUGGAUAAGCUCCCAAGGGCCCCCAAGUGGGCCUGGAAUGGGGCCAGAGGGUGGACAAGGCUUGGGGGUGUUGGGGAUCUCCCCACAUACCCCACUGUGAUAGUUUGUAUAUGCUCAGCCUAGGGAAUGGCCCUAUUUAGGAAGUGUGGGCCUGGUGGAGUAGGUGUAUCACUGUGGGUGUGGGCUUUAAUACUCUAUCUAGUCCUAGCUGCCUGGAAGCCAGUCUUCUCCUAGCAGCCUUCAUAUGAAGAUGUAGAAUUCUCAGUUCCUGCACCAUGCUUACCUGGAUGCUACCAUGUUCUGCCUUAAUGAUAAUGGACUGAACCUCUGAACCUGUAAGUCAGUCCCAAUUAAAUGUUGCCUUGUUCAUGGUGUCUGUUCACAGCAGUAAAACCCUAACUAACUAAGACAGCCAUCACCUACCAUAAGAGUUCUAUGGAGGAGGAGUAGCAUAUUGUGAACCUUAGGUUGGACUGGGACAAAUGCCCUAAGUUGGCCUGGAGACUUUGCAGCCUUAGGCCGAGCUGGAGCAUGAGUGGAGAGGAACUCAGAGAGGGCCUCUCUUAAGCACUGUACUCUCCACCCGAGUGCUGUGAAGUUGGAGAAGCUGGAACCAAGUCCCCGGGAGUCUCAGGACAUGAAAGCCCUGCAGAUAGAACUAGAGUAGUUUGCCAAACUGCUGAAGCAGAAGAGGAUCAGUUUGGGGUACAACCAGGCCAACAUGGGGCUCACCCUGGGUGUUCUCUUUGGAGAAGUGUUCAGCCAGACCACCAUCUGCAGCUUUAAGGCCCUGCAGCUCAGCUUCAAGAGCUUGUGUAAACUGCGGCCCCUGCUGGAGAAGUGGGUGGAGGAAGCGGACAACAAUGAGGAUGUUCAAGGAUGUAUUGCAAACCCUGGUGUAGGCCUGCAAGAGAAAGCAGAUGAGCAUUGAGAACCCUGAGAAGGGGAACCUGAAAAACACAUUUCUGCAGUGGCGGAAGCCUACCCUGCAGCAGGUCAGCAGCAUCAUCAAACAGCUUGGGCUGGAGAAGGAUGUGGCCCGGGUGUGGUUCUGUAACCUGCACCAGGAGGGUAAACAAAUGAUCAAGCAUCGACUAUUCCCAACAAGUACGAAGCUGCAGGGCCUCCUUUGGGGGAGACCUAUAUCCUUUCCUUUGCUUCCAGGGCCUCAUUUUGGUGCCCCGGGGUAUGGGAACCCCCAUUUCACCACACUGUACACAUUGGUCCCUUUUUGCAAGGAUAAGGCCUCUCCCUCUGUUCCUGUCACUGCUCUAGGCUCUCCCAUGUAUUCAAGCUGAGGCGACAUCCCUGCCUGGGGGUGAGGUGAGCCUAGGGGAAGAAGGUGGAUAAAGAGAGCCUGGAGCCACCACGGCUUUGGAGUUAAGUUCACUGACUGAGGAAAGGUUCAAAGCACAGAAAGGGUAGAGAGGAAGAUGAAGUUAUGCUGUUGAGUGUGAGCUGUCACUCACCAUUUUGUUCUUGAAUUUAAAAAGCCUGGGACACA